rnacentral:rRNA from 1 species
UACGAAGGGUGCAAGCGUUACUCGGAAUUACUGGGCGUAAAGCGUGCGCAGGCGGUUUUGUAAGGCAGAUGUGAAAUCCCCGGGCUUAACCUGGGAAUGGCAUUUGGGACUGCAAGGCUUGAGUGCGGCAGAGGAGACUGGAAUUCCUGGUGUAGCAGUGAAAUGCGUAGAUAUCAGGAGGAACACCGAUGGCGAAGGCAGGUCUCUGGGCUGACACUGACGCUCAUGCACGAAAGCGUGGGGAGCAAACAGG